GAGGGCAAGUCUGGUGCCAGCAGCCGCGGUAAUUCCAGCUCCAAUAGCGUAUAUUAAAAUUGUUGCAGUUAAAAAGCUCGUAGUUGAAUUUCUGCUGCAUUACAUAUCUCUUGUUUGAGUUUGUUUUUGUGGCUUAUUUCGGAUUGAUUUUUUCUUUCCGGAUGAUUACUUUGAGAAAAUUAGAGUGCUCAAAGCAGGCUUUUGCCUUGAAUAGUUUAGCAUGGAAUAAUAAAGUAGGACUUUGGUUCUAUUUUGUUGGUUUUAGGUACCAAAGUAAUGGUUAAUAGGAACAGUUGGGGGCAUUCGUAUUUAACUGUCAGAGGUGAAAUUCUUAGAUUUGUUAAAGACGAACUACUGCGAAAGCAUUUGCCAAGGAUGUUUUCAUUAAUCAAGAACGAAAGUUAGGGGAUCGAAGACGAUCAGAUACCGUCGUAGUCCUAACCAUAAACUAUGCCGACUAGAGAUUGGAGGUCGUCAGUUUUUACGACUCCUUCAGCACCUUG
rnacentral:rRNA from 1 species